GGGCGGGUAGUGUAGUUGGCAACACACCAUCGCGAAGGUAUCGUGGGUUCGAAUCCCACACCGUCCA
rnacentral:tRNA from 1 species